AGGAGAGGAGGCUAUCCUGCUGAGUUAGAUAACAAGAUUAAUACUGUCUUGUCUGUGCAUUAAUUAUGGCGCCGUAGCCAGGAAAUGGUUAGUUUAGACUGGAAGCAAGGAGAAACUAACAGGUGACAACAAGAUCCCAGGAAGUCACUGUGUGAGGUGGCUGUGAACCAGGAAAUAGUUACAGCAUGUAAAACCCGGUAAAGCGGCAGUCAAACCACAAAGUGACAUCCACUUGUCCACGUCAAAAAGCUGUGAUUCUGCAGCUAAUCAACAAGAAAGUACAACAGUACAUGGUACAAAGUGUGGUGCAGGGGAAUGGCAAUGGAAAAGAGUUUCUCCAUAUAGCACAUGGCAGAGGGAGUGAAAGCUGGAAGAUAGAAAAUCACUUCCUUCAUGUUAUCUGCCUUCACAAAGCCAAAGAGAAAAAAAACACACCCAAAGUGAGACCAGAGAUGGAAGACAAUGUCAACAUCAUCUUCAUGACAGGAAGCAAUGGGGUUUAAGGAAAAUAUGGUCAUGAUUUUGAGAAACGCAAGCACUAACAAUACCUGGGGCAUGAGACAGAGGCUGCCAAUCAGCUCAACCAGGGGUUAGAAGGACUAGCUCAAUCUGUAGAUCAGUUCAUUUAGUAAAGCUUAUCUACAUUCAGUUCUAAUAAAGAAAACUUCUAAAGGAAGUGGAAGGACUGUCUGCUUUACUUUAAUACUGUCCAUUAGUUCUGGGAUCUAUUUUUUUCUCCCCAUCUGUUAUUGCUGUCUUCUCUUCUCUCAGUCUCUGCAUCCUUGAUGCCAUCGCGUGAUCUCCAUUCUCGCAACUGCUGUCAUAACUUCCUGUGUCCUCCUCUGCUUCCUCUAUUUCUGCGUCUGUUUCUUUCCACUUAUCCCUCCUUUCCUGCUCCCUCUCCUCUCAUUCAUGUUCAGGCAUAGUGUGUCCUGGAGUGACCCUGCCAGACGCUGCACCACAGACGCUACGUUCACAGUGGUUUGGAGGGGAGGUGGGAUUGUGAAUAUGUGUGUGUGUGUGUGUGUGUGUGUGGGUAAUCAAGAAAAAGAGCGAGAGAGAGAGAGAGAAAGGGUUCGUGGGAAAGUUUGACAAUUUUUUUGUUCAUUAGCUAAGCUGAAGAAGGGAUUGUUAGUCAGUCCAUUACUCCAUUGGUCUAGAUGUUGGUUAGAGCAUUAGUGCAAUUUGAAAUGGGGCACUGAUUCAAGCACUUUUUAAUGAAUUUAAUUGCCACCUUCAUGUCCGCUCACUCCUGAAAGUAGCACUGCAAAUUUUCUUUUGUACCCUCUGAAAAAUGUUUGGUGCUGUAAGCUUGGCGACACAGUGACUAUUUGCAGGUUAAGAUGCCAAAUUUGUGUGAGAGUGCCUCUGUUUUGUACUCACUUUGUUCUGUCAGAAGUCAGUCAAUGGCACAAAUUUGCAUUUCAAAGUUCACUGAAGUGGAACUCCACAAGAAAGCGAUGCUCAAAUUUACUUUGCCGCCAUGAGCAAAUCAACACUAAUCAGCAGAAUUUUGAAGAGUUUCCUGAACAGCAGCUACAAUAGCUCAUCAGACAGAAUGACGGCGACAUGUACUUGGUUAAAUUUGGAGUCAUUGUUUUACCCUGGCUGAAGAACGGCAUUGCAAGUCAGUCUGUCAUUUAGUUGGUGUUUAAAUAUAUCGUUCUGUCCAAGACUUUCUAGAACAUCCUUGAAACUAUAUUCAUGAUCCAGAAAGGUCAAUUACUAAUGAUUUUGUCUCUGUUAGGUCAAAAUGUCACCUUGACCAACACUUUGGUCCAUUGGUAACCCAAAAACUGUUGGCUAGAUUUCCAUUCAAUUUGUGACUCACUUGACCUUUCUAUAGCACCUUCCCACAGGCCCCAAUUUCCACUUGUGUACAUGGAGUAUUAAAACCAAUGGUCAUGCUCCCCAGAGAAUGAAUCAUUUCUAUUUUGGACACUCCAUGAGCUCACCUCUAGUGCCAUCUUCAGCUCAAAGUCAACAAUCACAUAAUCUAACAGGUACAUUGCCAUGAGCACAUUCAUGCUCCAAAGGGCGGCAAUCUUUCUGAGAGAAUGAGCUCAUUUGUGCAGCAAGAUUGGCUUGUCAAACCACACUAUAGCUUCAUCUUCAAGGUUUGUUAAGGCAGAUGUGUGUGUGUGUGUGUGUGUGUGUGUGUGUGUGCAUGUGUAUGCCCACUCUUUGCUGAGUCAGUGAUGAGGAGAGUUUUGUUUGCUCUGCUCUGCCAACAUGUCCGCCCUGACCUCUUUGGAGGGACAUGAGAAGAGUCUUUGAGUCUCGGUUGGAGCAGCCAGCUGACCAGGCUCUGCGCUGCCCUGCCAUGCCGCACCGUAGAGUCUGCAGCAGGCCGGUGGCAGCAUCCACCGCUCCUCCAGCCAAACCGGCCACGCUGGCAGAGGAACCGUGGCUGGAAAAACUCCCCCGACACUGAGCCCAGAUGGACGGAUAAUGGGAAAUAGAGAUGCA